rnacentral:tRNA from 1 species
GAGGAUGUAGCUCAGUCGGUAGAGCAACGGACUUUUAAUCCGUAGGUCCUGGGUUCGAGUCCCAGCAUCCUCA